rnacentral:rRNA from 1 species
AUUGAACGCUGGCGGCAGGCCUAACACAUGCAAGUCGAGCGAGCGGCGGACGGGUGAGUAAUGUCUGGGAAACUGCCUGAUGGAGGGGGAUAACUACUGGAAACGGUAGCUAAUACCGCAUACCAUCAGAUGUGCCCACAUGGGAUUAGCUAGUAGGUGGGGUAACGGCUGACGUAGGCGACGAUCCCUAGCUGGUCUGAGAGGAUGACCAGCCACACUGGAGCUGAGACAGUGUCAAGACUCCUACGGGAUGCAACAGUGGGGAUUAGUGCACGAUGGGCGCGAGCCUGAUGCAGCCAUGCAGCGUGUGUGAAGAGAGCCAUCGGGUUGAAAAGCACAUUCAGUGGGUAGGCGUUACCCGCAGAAGAAGGACCGGCUAACUCCAUGCCAGCAGCCGCGGUAAUAC